rnacentral:lncRNA from 1 species
GCAACAACAUAACACUCCUUAGUAAUCAUAAUUAUAAGGACAUCAAACAAGAACUUUUUUUUAUAAUCAGAAGUCCUGAAACAUGUCCAUCACACAAAUACAUAUUUAACAUUUUAUUAUUUGGGAUACAUAAUCAUUAAUUUCUUAUAUGAAUCGGCAGAGUACUUAAAGUGUAGUCUAGAGUCCCUUACUCCUCCACCUGAGUUUGUGGAAGUAGUCUACACGGACCUACUUCAGUACCCAGUGCCUAUCAUAGUGUUAUAUCGCAUGCACGCCCCAAAACAUUGCAGUCUCUUUUUCAACUUUGUAGAGGUUCAUAUUCCCUGCCCCGUCAUGGUCUUGCACCACAUACAAGUGAUCAUAAUGUGCAAUAUUUUUGUCAAUGUCACGGUAUUGCAUCCUCUGUCUGCCGUAGUUCUGCAUCCCGUGGCUAAUGUAUGCAACUUCAUGCUGCUCCUGCCAUCCAUUAACCAAAUUUAAAUUUAAAAAUAAGUGGAAAAAUGUUUAAUAGGAUGAAAUUUGUUAAGGUUAGUCUCACGUCUGCGUCAGAUUCGGAGUCUGAUUCUGAUUCUAAAUCUUCUUCUGAUUCUGAUGAUUUUACGCAUUUUUAUCAUAGUAAAUAAUGGCUUUGGCUGGGCGGCCAUGGUUUGCUUGAGGCUCACAGUUGGCUAGACGACCAUAGUUGGUUGGACGACCAUGGCUGGCUGGACGGCGAUAGUUAUGCUCAUGGUUGGCAUGAAGCCUCAUGCGGUGAUCAUGGUCUGAUUCUAAG